GCUUCUCAGAGAUACAACCCCAGGACGUGCUGUACAGCAGUACCAGCGAAUACCAGCUUGUGUGCUUCAGGUCUAGCGGCUGCUUUAAGUGAAGUCACUGAGUGCAAAAACAUAAAAACUAAAGAAAUCAUGGUCAUCAAGAUCCUCUCACAGAGAACCAAUGAUUCCCAGGAACCCAAUAAAGAGCUGGCAAUGCUGAAAAGAAUCCAUGGUCUGGAUCGAGACAACAUCGUUUGGCUCUUUUGGGGCUUUGAACACAAAGGGCACACAUGUCUCACACAAGAACCUCCAUAAGCUGCUCAAGCGUGGCAGCCCAGUCUCUCUUCAGGAACUUAAACCCAUCACACAGCAGCUAUUCACUGCAUUUGAGUCUCCAAAGUCUGUUGGUGUCAGUGACACUAAUGUUAAGCUGCAUAAUGUCAUGUUGGUGAAUCAAAAGGACCACCUCUUCAGGCUCAGACUCAGUGACUUUGGAUUUGUAAAGUGCGAUGUGAUCAUGUCGCAUAUCAC